rnacentral:tRNA from 1 species
GCGAGAAUGGCGGAACUGGUAGACGCGCUGGAUUUAGGAUCCAGUGCCCUAGGGCAUGGGGGUUCGAGUCCCCCCCUUCGCACCA